rnacentral:misc_RNA from 1 species
CAAACACAUGCAAAGAUAAGAGUUGCAGAUGCUAUUCCUGGUGUAGACCAGAGAGUAAUUAUUAUUUAUAACCACCCAUCGGAGCAGCCCAGUGAAGUUGGUAAUAAUGAAGAUGUUGAAGAAGCUGAUGAACACAAGGAUAUGCAACCACAUUGUCCAGCCCAGGAUGCUCUUCUUAAGGUACAUGAUAGGGUUGUUGCAGAUGAGUAUCUACAGGAUGGGGUCUUUCAUGAAAAGACCAAACUUGAUGAUGAAGUUACUGCCCGCAUUUUGGUUCAAAGCAAUCAGAUUGGCUGUCUUAUCGGCAAGGGCGGAACGAUUAUAAAAAAACUGCGGACUGAUACUGG